AUGCAUCCCGCGUCCUCUUCCUCGUCAGCGGCGCACCCGCCCGACGGCGACCGCCCCAACGCCAAGGCCCCAACGCCUCCCGGCCCGGCCAUGGGCUACCCCGCCAACGCCGCGCCCAACCCCGGCAACGCCAGCUCCGCCUACUACGCCGCCGCGCCGCCCCCCGUCGCCAACGGCAACGGCACGGCCGCCUUCGGCGUCGCCUACCCCUACCCGGCCCCGCCCCCGCACCACCACCACCACCACCCGCCUCCGCCCCCGCCCUACCACCACUACCACAACCACCACAACCCCUACCAGGCGGCCCCUCCGCCGCCGCCCACCUGCCUGCGCCGCCUCCUCGCGCUCGUCGUCGCCGCCUUCCUCCUCCUCGGCGCCGGCACCUUCAUCGUCUGGCUCCUCCUCCGCCCCCGCGCGCCCGCCUUCUCCCUCUCCGCUCUCACGCUCUCCCGCGUCGCCUACUCCCCGGCCAACUCCUCCCUCUCCGCCGCCUUCGACGCCUCGCUCCUCGCCGACAACCCCAACUCCAAGCUCACCAUCUCCUACUCAUCCCUCGUCGCUUACGUUGACCUCGCCCCCUCCUCCCCCAUCGCCGUUACCUCCCUCGCGCCCUUCGCGCAGGGGCCCCGGAACACCACCACGCUCGCCUUCCGCCUCGACGUCGACGGGACCUAUGUCGGGCCCGACGAGGCCGCCGCGCUCAAGAGCGGGAACGGGGGCACCAUGGAGGUCCAGGUGAGGCUCGCGGCCAUUGCCGUGUUCGAUAGAGGGGGCUGGCGCACCCGCCGGAGGGCCAUGAGGGUGUUGUGCGAUGGAGUGCCUGUCACAUUCCGUGGGAAGAACGCCACCGACGCAAAAUUUGAUGGCCCGGCACGCCGCUGCCAAGUCGUCUUGUGA
rnacentral:rRNA from 1 species